rnacentral:rRNA from 1 species
GGCCUGCGGAGGGAUCAUUGCUGGAACGCGCCCCAGGCGCACCCAGAAACCCUUUGUGAACUUAUACCUUACUGUUGCCUCGGCGCAUGCUGGCCCCCUCGGGGUCCCUCGGAGACGAGGAGCAGGCACGCCGGCGGCCAAGUUAACUCUUGUUUUUACACUGAAACUCUGAGAAAAAACACAAAUGAAUCAAAACUUUCAACAACGGAUCUCUUGGUUCUGGCAUCGAUGAAGAACGCAGCGAAAUGCGAUAAGUAAUGUGAAUUGCAGAAUUCAGUGAAUCAUCGAAUCUUUGAACGCACAUUGCGCCCUCUGGUAUUCCGGAGGGCAUGCCUGUUCGAGCGUCAUUUCAACCCUCAAGCAUUGCUUGGUGUUGGGGCACUGCCUGUAAAAGGGCAGGCCCUGAAAUCUAGUGGCGAGCUCGCCAGGACCCCGAGCGCAGUAGUUAAACCCUCGCUUUGGAAGGCCCUGGCGGUGCCCUGCCGUUAAACCCCCAACUUUUGAAAAUUUGACCUCGGAUCAGGUAGGAAUACCCGCUGAACUUAAGCAUAUCAAA